CGUGUACUCCCUCCAUCUCAUAUCAAGUGACUCAAAUUUGUCCAAAUAUGAUUGUAUUUAUGUCUAAAAAACGUAUAGAUACAAGUAAUAGAAAGUCACUUAAUAUGAAAUGGAGGGAGUACCAU
rfam:Brachypodium distachyon strain Bd21 chromosome 4, whole genome shotgun sequence.